AUUGAACGCUGGCGGCAUGCCUUACACAUGCAAGUCGAACGGCAGCACGGGUGCUUGCACCUGGUGGCGAGUGGCGAACGGGUGAGUAAUACAUCGGAGCAUGUCCUGUAGUGGGGGAUAGCCCGGCGAAGGCCGGAUUAAUACCGCAUACGAUCUACGGAUGAAAGCGGGGGACCUUCGGGCCUCGCGCUAUAGGGUUGGCCGAUGGCUGAUUAGCUAGUUGGUGGGGUAAAGGCCUACCAAGGCGACGAUCAGUAGCUGGUCUGAGAGGACGACCAGCCACACUGGGACUGAGACACGGCCCAGACUCCUACGGGAGGCAGCAGUGGGGAAUUUUGGACAAUGGGCGAAAGCCUGAUCCAGCAAUGCCGCGUGUGUGAAGAAGGCCUUCGGGUUGUAAAGCACUUUUGUCCGGAAAGAAAUCCUUGGCCCUAAUACGGUCGGGGGAUGACGGUACCGGAAGAAUAAGCACCGGCUAACUACGUG
rnacentral:rRNA from 1 species